rnacentral:rRNA from 1 species
CUACGGGUCGCUGCAGUGGGGAAUAUUGCACAAUGGGCGCAAGCCUGAUGCAGCCAUGCCGCGUGUAUGAAGAAGGCCUUCGGGUUGUAAAGUACUUUCAGCGGGGAGGAAGGGAGUAAAGUUAAUACCUUUGCUCAUUGACGUUACCCGCAGAAGAAGCACCGGCUAACUCCGGUGCCAGCAGCCGCGGUAAUACGGAGGGUGCAAGCGUUAAUCGGAAUUACUGGGCGUAAAGCGCACGCAGGCGGUUUGUUAAGUCAGAUGUGAAAUCCCCGGGCUCAACCUGGGAACUGCAUCUGAUACUGGCAAGCUUGAGUCUCGUAGAGGGGGGUAGAAUUCCAGGUGUAGCGGUGAUAUGCGUAGAGAUCUGGAGGAAUACCGGUGGCGAAGGCGGCCCCCUGGACGAAGACUGACGCUCAGGUGCGAAAGCGUGGGGAGCAAACAGGAUUAGAUACCCCUGUAGUC